AGAAAGCACACAGGGCUCUACGCCAUUAAAAAGAGAAUUCAAAUUGAAAUACCGGUUAAAAUUUGGCUAAAACUAAUUGAAUAUGUCAUUGAACCAAUUGCACUUUAUGGCAGUGAGGUGUGAGGUCCACUUUAUGGCAGCGAGGUGUGGGGUCCACUUUAUGGCAGCGAGGUGUGAGGUCCACUUUAUGGCAGUGAGGUGUGGGGUCCACUUUAUGGCAGCGAGGUGUGAGGUCCACUUUAUGGCAGCGAGGUGUGGGGUCCACUUUAUGGCAGCGAGGUGUGAGGUCCACUUUAUGGCAGUGAGGUGUGGGGUCCACUUUAUGGCAGCGAGGUGUGAGGUCCACUUUAUGGCAGUGAGGUGUGGGGUCCACUUUAUGGCAGCGAGGUGUGAGGUCCACUUUAUGGCAGCGAGGUGUGAGGUCCACUUUAUGGCAGCGAGGUGUGGGGUCCACUUUAUGGCAGUGAGGUGUGGGGUCCACUUUAUGGCAGCGAGGUGUGAGGUCCACUUUAUGGCAGCGAGGUGUGGGGUCCACUUUAUGGCAGCGAGGUGUGAGGUCCACUUUAUGGCAGUGAGGUGUGGGGUCCACUUUAUGGCAGCGAGGUGUGAGGUCCACUUUAUGGCAGCGAGGUGUGGGGUCCACUUUAUGGCAGCGAGGUGUGGGGUCCACUUUAUGGCAGCGAGGUGUGGGGUCCACUUUAUGGCAGCGAGGUGUGGGGUCCACUUUAUGGCAGCGAGGUGUGGGGUCCACCUGCAAAACAAGAUUUCAUCAAAUGGGACAAACACCCCAUUGAAA